CAGUAGCCGCGGGAAUACUGAGGAUGCAAGCGUUAUCCGGAAUGAUUGGGCGUAAAGCGUCUGUAGGUGGCUUUUCAAGUCCGCCGUCAAAUCCCAGGGCCCAACCCUGGACAGGCGGUGGAAACUACCAAGCUGGAGUACGGUAGGGGCGGAGGGAAUCUCCGGUGGAGCGGUGAAAUGCGUUGAGAUCGGAAAGAACACCAACGGCGAAAGCACUCUGCUGGGCCGACACUGACACUGAGAGGCGAAAGCUAGGGGAGCAAAUGGGAUUAGAUACCCCAGUAGUCCCUGUCUCUUAUAC
rnacentral:rRNA from 1 species